CAGACGAUGCGUCAUGCAUAUCAAUAAGCGGAGGAAAAGAAACUAACAAGGAUUCCCUCAGUAACGGCGAGUGAAGCGGGAAGAGCUCAAAUUUGAAAUCUUGAAAGGUCACCUUUCACGAAUUGUAGUUUAAAGAAGUGUUUUCUGUUACGAUCGUAAUAUAAGUUCUUUGGAAUAGGACAUCACAGAGGGUGAGAAUCCCGUCUAUGAUUGCGAUUUGUAGCUUUGUGAUACACUUUCAAAGAGUCGGAUUGUUUGGGAAUGCAGUCCAAAAUGGGUAGGUAAAUUUCAUCUAAAGGCUAAAUAUUGGCGAGAGACCGAUAGCGAACAAGUACCGUGAGGGAAAGAUGAAAAGAACUUUGAGAAGAGAGUUAAACAGUACGUGAAAUUGUCAAAAGGGAAGCGUUUGACACCAGUGUUGUUUUCUCGAAAAUCAAUUAAAAAUGGCUCGAUUUUGUAUUGUUUGAGACCUUAAAAGCUCACUGUACAUUUUUCGUGUCUUUUUUAAUGCACUUUUCGUUUAACAAGUCAACAUCAGUUUCUUUUGUUGUAAAAGGGUCAUUGGAAGGUGGCUUUCUUUUCGGAGAAAGUGUUUAUAGCCUUUGGCCUCUGCAAUCGGAGAGACUGAGGUCUGCAGCGUAGACUCUUCGGGGUUAGAUACAUUUGUGCUAAGUUAUAGCUUUUUAUAGACAACUUGUUGACUAUAAUUAGUCUUGUAGCUUACUCGCUUAUGUUAUUUUACCUACGCUUAGGAUGUUGACUGAUAUGUAGUCGUA
rnacentral:rRNA from 1 species